AAGAACACAUAUGAGCUCUAUGUUCAUGUUGCCAUAAGCAUCAAAGAGGGAAAGUGUAACACCCCGUCCACUCGUGGAUCAACGGUACUUAAUCCCGACAACCCUCUACGAUCAUAGACCAUCCACAUAGACCAACACGAGUCUUUUGUGCGCACUUUGUCCUCACUCAUGUGCACCCGAGAAGACUUCCCGGUCAGCCAUCCAUCCCGACAUUGCUCUAGUUGAAGCACUCUUAACCUAGAGGUUCUUUCAAUAUAGGCUUCCGAAAAAGAAGAAGGACCUUCUCGAUAUGAGUAUUAUAUCAUUUCUAUUAAGCCUUGAGCUAAUAUAUCACAAUCAUCCUGAAACCAAGAUAUUACAAUCCCCCCUUAGAAUACUAACGUCCUUGUCGAUAACCCCAAGCCAGGAACCUUCCUCCCUUUGACACGUCUAUGUCUUUAGUGACGUCAUAUGCCAUUUAUGACCACUUUGGGCCCACAUGCGUCGUACGUCUUAUACCUGAACCCCUAGCCCACACACGCCUGUGAAACCGCAAGGGUCAGCUCUGAUGCCAUCUGUAACACCCGUCCACUCCUUGACCGAUGAUACUUACUCCUAACAGCCCUAUAGGAUCAUAGACCAUCCCUACAGACCAACACAAGUCUUUUUUGGGCACUUUAUUUGUCCUCACUCAUGUGCACACAAGAAGACUUCCCGGUCGUUCACCCAUCCUGAGAUUGCUUUGGCUAAGCACACUUAAACUAGAUGUUCUUUUGAGACAUACUUCCAAAAAAGAAGAUACACCUUGUUGGUAUAAGUAUUAUAUCAAUCCUAUUAAGUCUUAGGCUAGGAUAACACAAUCCUCCCGAGCCAAGAUAUCACAGGAGGUGUUAUCCAAUUUUUUAAAUAAUUUAUUGAAAAUUUCACUCAUUUAAGUGCGAAAUGGUUGCAAGUUCAUCAUCUCAUAUAAUAGAGUUGAAAUAGUUAUUUCUUUGUAUAAUUUUAUUGAAUUUUGUGGUCGAUUGUACAAUUUAGGUAAAAAUUAGUAAGUUCAUCAUCUCAUAUGUGUUGUAAUAUGUAUGAUGAUAAUAGAAAUUAGGAGCAAAUCGGAUUGGAGCUCUGUUCAUUGGCUACAUAAGCUUGAAACAGGGUUGGUGU
rnacentral:lncRNA from 7 species